rnacentral:rRNA from 1 species
CAAUAGCGUAUAUUAAAGUUGUUGCAGUUAAAAAGCUCGUAGUUGAAUUUCUGGCGGGCGCGCCGGUCUUCCAAGUGUUGUACUGGGCGCAGUCCGCCAUCCUUGUGGAGAGGGCUCGCAUUGAGUUGCGUGUCGGAUCUGCAUCAUUUACUGUGAAAAAAUUAGAGUGUUUAAAGCAGGCUGCCGCUUGAAUACAUUAGCAUGGAAUAAUAAGAUAGGACUUCGGUCUAUUUUGUUGGUUGCGAACCGAGGUAAUGAUUAAUAGGGAUAGUUGGGGGUAUUCAUAUUUAAUUGUCAGAGGUGAAAUUCUUGGAUUUAUGAAAGAUGAACAACUGCGAAAGCAUUUACCAAGGAUGUUUUCAUUAA